rnacentral:rRNA from 1 species
AUGGCUCAGAUUGAACGCUGGCGGCGUGCUUAACACAUGCAAGUCGCGCGUGAAAGGACUUCGGUCCGGGUAAAGCGGCGCACGGGUGAGUAACGCGUGGAUGAUCUACCCAUGAGUUAGGAAUAACGGCUGGAAACGGUCGCUAAUACCAAAUACGCUCCGAUUUCAACUUCGGGGGAAAGGUGGCCUCUGCUUGCAAGCUACUGCUCAUGGAUGAGUCCGCGUCCCAUUAGCUAGUUGGUGGGGUAACGGCCCACCAAGGCGACGAUGGGUAGCCGGUCUGAGAGGAUGACCGGCCACACUGGGACUGGAACACGGCCCAGACUCCUACGGGAGGCAGCAGUGGGGAAUAUUGCGCAAUGGGCGAAAGCCUGACGCAGCGACGCCGCGUGAGGGGAAUGAAGGUCCUCGGAUCGUAAACCUCUGUCAGGAGGGAAGAACCGCCACGGUGCUAAUCAGCCGUGGUCUGACGGUACCUCCAAAGGAAGCACCGGCUAACUCCGUGCCAGCCGCGGC